rnacentral:rRNA from 1 species
CACUCCUACGGGAGGCAGCAGUGGGGAAUAUUGGACCAUGGGGGCAACCCUGAUCCAGCCAUGCCGCGUGAGUGAUGAAGGCCCUAGGGUUGUAAAGCGCUUUUGUGCGGGAAGAUAAUGACGGUACCGCAAGAAUAAGCCCCGGCUAACUUCGUGCCAGCAGCCGCGGUAAUACGAAGGGGGCUAGCGUUGCUCGGAAUCACUGGGCGUAAAGGGUGCGUAGGCGGGUCUUUAAGUCAGGGGUGAAAUCCUGGAGCUCAACUCCAGAACUGCCUUUGAUACUGAGGAUCUUGAGUCCGGAAGAGGUGAGUGGAACUGCGAGUGUAGAGGUGAAAUUCGUAGAUAUUCGCAAGAACACCAGUGGCGAAGGCGGCUCACUGGUCCGGUACUGACGCUGAGGCACGAAAGCGUGGGGAGCAAACAGGAUUAGAAACCCGAGUAGUCCC